UACGAAGGGGGCUAGCGUUGUUCGGAUUUACUGGGCGUAAAGCGCACGUAGGCGGAUAUUUAAGUCAGGGGUGAAAUCCCGGGGCUCAACCCCGGAACUGCCUUUGAUACUGGGGAUCUUGAGUCCGGAAGGGGUGAGUGGAACUCCGAGUGUAGAGGUGAAAUUCGUAGAUAUUCGGAAGAACACCAGUGGCGAAGGCGGCUCACUGGUCCGGUACUGACGCUGAGGUGCGAAAGCGUGGGGAGCAAACAGG
rnacentral:rRNA from 1 species